rnacentral:tRNA from 3 species
GCGGCCUUAGCUCAGUUGGUAGAGCGCCACGUUGUGGUCGUGGAUGUCACGGGUUCGAGUCCCGUAGGUCGCCCCA